rnacentral:rRNA from 1 species
AUGUUUAGAGACAUUGGAUUGAGCUCUCCGGAAAGAAGUAUCCAGGAAAUACUUGGACUGCAAGACUUUGUAUAUAUAUGGUUGUUUGGAUCACGACAAGACUGGCACGGCAAGACCGUGAAAGAGGAGGUGCCGCCGGCGUUCUCGAAGACACGCGGGCGCCUCCUACACUACCUUGAUGGCUGUGGUGGUGGCGGCUCCUCGUCGCGGAGCAUUGUCACGCUGGAGAAGAGGACGGCCGGGCAAGCGACUCAUUGCAAUGAAACAGCCCUCUGUAAGCAGCGAAGAUCAUCGUAUCCUUGUCAUCUCUUAAAAUCGUCCUUGUCCCAGCAUUACCAUCAUUUGAGCCGAAGGAGCUAUCGACCGAAAGUGCAGCCCGCCCCGAAGGUGGGCAUGGCCAUGGUAUGCUUGGGGGAUCAUCGACAUGCGGCGUAUGAGGUUUCACCGAAAACUCCAGAGGCAUAG